rnacentral:misc_RNA from 1 species
UUAUGCUCCUUCGACAUGAAGGCCUCCUAUGAGAAAAGGAAGGUUUAUCUUACACUGAUGAAACUCAUUACUCAUUGGACCUAUGAGUUAGAAUAUAGGAUAUUUUACAAAAUAGUCUCUUAGCUAUGUCAAAAUACAUAACUUGAUCCUUUUAUUUUCAAAAUUUUAUGAUUAGUUCCUAAUAUUUAUUAUUUUUUUAAUCGAUAGAUGGA